rnacentral:rRNA from 1 species
UGGGGAAUAUUGCACAAUGGAGGGAACUCUGAUGCAGCGACGCCGCGUGAACGAAGAAGGCUUUCGAGUCGUAAAGUUCUUUUAUAUGGGAAGAUAAUGACGGUACCAUAAGAAAAAGCCCCGGCUAACUACGUGCCAGCAGCCGCGGUAAUACGUAGGGGGCUAGCGUUGUCCGGAAUCACUGGGCGUAAAGGGUUCGCAGGCGGAAAUGCAAGUCAGGUGUAAAAGGCAGUAGCUUAACUACUGUAAGCAUUUGAAACUGCAUAUCUUGAGAAGAGUAGAGGUAAGUGGAAUUUUUAGUGUAGCGGUGAAAUGCGUAGAUAUUAAAAAGAAUACCGGUGGCGAAGGCGGCGUACUGGGCUCAUUCUGACGCUAAGGAACGAAAGCGUGGGUAGCAAACAGG